rnacentral:rRNA from 1 species
AUGAACGCUGGCGGCGUGCCUAAUACAUGCAAGUCGAGCGAACGGACGAGAAGCUUGCUUCUCUGAUGUUAGCGGCGGACGGGUGAGUAACACGUGGAUAACCUACCUAUAAGACUGGGAUAACUUCGGGAAACCGGAGCUAAUACCGGAUAAUAUUUUGAACCGCAUGGUUCAAAAGUGAAAGACGGUCUUGCUGUCACUUAUAGAUGGAUCCGCGCUGCAUUAGCUAGUUGGUAAGGUAACGGCUUACCAAGGCAACGAUGCAUAGCCGACCUGAGAGGGUGAUCGGCCACACUGGAACUGAGACACGGUCCAGACUCCUACGGGAGGCAGCAGUAGGGAAUCUUCCGCAAAGGGCGAAAGCCUGACGGAGCAACGCCGCGUGAGUGAUGAAGGUCUUUGGAUCGUAAAACUCUGUUAUUAGGGAAGAACAUAUGUGUAAGUAACUGUGCACAUCUUGACGGUACCUAAUCAGAAAGCCACGGCUAACUACGUG